AGAAACAUGAAGUAAUUAAGUAGUUUACAAACAAACCAAAAAAAAAAACAAAACAUUGUUACUGCAGUCAGUGAUAAGAAUGUUUCAGGGGAAGUUGAACACGAAGUUCACCCCGAUAUGCUACGCACUGGUCCAAACAGCAGCACGGGGGUGAACUUUGACCAGUUUUAACAGACAGUGAGCAUCUAACAAUUUCACACUCCAGCUGAGUCCUAUGUGCACCUUUAAAGAGGAAUCUUGUUUAAUUUAGGGGGCGUUCAUACCUCUACUCCCUCACGCAAUACCUUAUAAUCAAUGUGUUUCUCCUAAAGUGCAUGUUGAACUUGAGAAUUCUUUAAGUUACCAGCUCACACAAAAGGCCAAGUGUGUUCACAAACUGGUUUUCCUGUUUUAUCUUUUACCCCUUCACAAAAAGUGAUGUCUAAUGUGUAUUUUCUUUCAUUCUGUCUGCUCCUGCUGCCUAAACCGGUUGUAUAAAUCUCUGUGAGCCAUGACGGGCCUUUAAGCUGGUUUCACAAUGAGGCAGAGCCACUGCCGAUUCUGAUCUUUGAGCUUGUUUAUGUGCGAGCAGUGUGAAAAUGUUGCGUUACAAAGGUGGUGAUGACCAACAAUCUGUUUCAAAAUAUGACUUCCUGUGAGAAUCAUCACACCCACAUUAUUGCACCAGAUGGGGACCAAUGAAAACUGUUCAUCUGGAAAUUGUGAUGAAACGGUCACCUGAAACAGAGGAAACUUUCCUAUGUGUAAAUUCACAGAAAUAUCAAAGUGUCUUUGUAGAGAUGAAGGGCUUUUGGAACAAUGCUAAAUCAAACUGCCACAAAACCAGCCCAGUGUGCCUCAGAGCGAAAAGCCAGUGGAAACCAAAAAGGCAAAGAUUCGAAGCAUGAGCUUUGGUGUCUCAAUGUAGCUGUUUCCUGUUUACAUGAAGCCAAUCAGUAUUGAGGAACACUAGGUGGCAGCAAAACACUGCCGAUCUGCAUGUGCACUGAUCAUUUUGUAUCAACCAUGAAGACUUUUUGAGAAAAGGUCUUUCCAGAUAGACAAGAUGAUAAACAUUUAC